UCUCCUUAAUCGGAGAGUUCCCUUCGGGGACAUUGGUGACAGGUGGUGCAUGGUUGUCGUCAGCUCGUGUCGUGAGAUGUUGGGUUAAGUCCCGCAACGCGCGCAACCCUUGUCUUUAGUUGCCAUCAUUAAGUUGGGCACUCUAGAGAGACUGCCAGGGAUAACCUGGAGGAAGGUGGGGAUGACGUCAAAUCAUCAUGCCCCUUAUGCUUAGG
rnacentral:rRNA from 1 species